UACGUAGGGGGCAAGCGUUGUCCGGAAUCAUUGGGCGUAAAGCGCGUGUAGGCGGUCCGGUAAGUCCGCUGUGAAAGUCGGGGGCUCAACCCUCGGAUGCCGGUGGAUACUGUCGGGCUUGAGUACGGAAGAGGCGAGUGGAAUUCCUGGCGUAGCGGUGAAAUGCGCAGAUAUCAGGAGGAACACCAAUUGCGAAGGCAGCUCGCUGGGACGGUACUGACGCUGAGACGCGAAAGCGUGGGGAGCAAACAGG
rnacentral:rRNA from 1 species